rnacentral:rRNA from 1 species
UACGUAGGGGGCAAGCGUUGUCCGGAUUUAUUGGGCGUAAAGAGCGUGUAGGCGGCUAUACAGGUCCGCUGUGAAAACUCGAGGCUCAACCUCGAGACGUCGGUGGAAACCGUAUGGCUAGAGUCCGGAAGAGGAGAAGUGGAAUUCCUGGUGUAGCGGUGAAAUGCGCAGAUAUCAGGAAGAACACCCGUGGCUAAGGCGGCUCUCUAGUACGGUACUGACGCUGAGACGCGAAAGCGUGGGGAGCGAACAGG